AUGGCUGAAUAUUUAGCUUCGAUAUUUGGGACUGAGAAGGACAAGUGAGAAUGGUUGGAGCCUGCCAGCAUGGGGACUGGUGCUCUCAACAAACUGACUUUCAGCCAGACCAUAGUCCUGCUCAACUUGUACCAGAAUCCAUAGAACACAAACACAGCCCAAACUACAGAUGGAUCACACUGUCAUGUGAGCGAUGUGGAGGUGCAAGAACACUAUGAUAACUUCUUUGAGGAGGUAUUCACAGAACUGCAGGAGAAGUAUGGAGAGAUUGAAGAGAUGAAUGUGUGUGACAACCUUGGGGACCACCACGUGGGCAAUGUCUAUGUUAAGUUCCGGCAGGAGAAGGAUGCAGAGUGGGCUGUGGAGGAACUCAAUAACCACUGGUUCAACAGGUAGGCUGUGCAUGCUGAGCUGUCUCCUGUCACUGACUCCGAGAAUCAUGCUUCCGGCUGUAUGAGAUGAGGGAAUGCACCUGAGGUGGCUUCUGCAAUUUUAUGCACCUACGACCCAUAUCCUGGAACUUGCGCUGGCAGCUCUAUGGGUGAAGACUCAGGCACAGGUCACCUCCAAGGUCCCAUACAGGUCACCGUCCCCAAGAAA